rnacentral:lncRNA from 1 species
AAACCAUUUAAACUACCUAGAAAUCAAAUUUCACGCACUUUCGAUAUUAUUCUUUUAUCCAUCAAGUGAACAGAAAAAUGAAUGGCUGAAAAUGAAUACUCUUUAAAAAAUAAUGAUAGAAGUCUUGUAAUCAAUAUCAAGAGUAUAGAUUUCGUUUUAAAUAGUUUAAAGAAUUUUCUAAUAAAAAUUCAAUUGAUUUGGAUAUCUUUAUGCCGUUAAACGAGAAAACGCCUCUUAUCGAUCAUUAAAAUUACAAAAUUUGAAACCCUUUGAUCAUUAGGCAAAUGAUGUCGAAAAGAUUUGAAAUUUGAUUUAUAAACGCUUCAAGUGGUAUAGAUCAUGUUCAACGGAGUCAAUCGUCAAUUUGAAAGCUGUAUCAUUGAAAACAAAUCGAUAGUAAAAUAGCUCGUUUACUACCGAUAGUACUCUAGCUCAACUCUANUAUAUAUAUAUAUAUAUAUAUAUAUAUAAAUCGUCGACGUCGAGACAAGAAAUUUAGGGACCUUAUCGGUAGAAUUUGAAAGUGUUGGGAAUUGUUUUAAAAAUUAGGUAUAAUUGAGGGGGU